AUUGAACGCUGGCGGCAUGCUUUACACAUGCAAGUCGAGCGGCAGCGCGGGGGCAACCCUGGCGGCCAGCGGCGAACGGGUGAGUAAUGCAUCGGAACGUACCCUGGAGUGGGGGAUAACGCUGCGAAAGCGGCGCUAAUACCGCAAAUGCCCUGAGGAGGCAAGUGGGCGACCGCAAGGCCUCACGCUCUGGGAGCGGCCGAUGUCCGAUGAGCUAGUUGGUGGGGUAAAGGCUUACCAAGGCGACGAUCGGUAGCUGGUCUGAGAGGAUGGUCAGCCACACUGGGACGGAGACACGGCCCAAACUCCUACGGGAGGCAGCGGUGGGGAAUUUUGGACAAUGGAGGCAACCCUGAUCCAGCCAUGCCGCGUGAGUGAAGAAGGCCUUCGGGUUGUAAAGCGCUGUUGGUCGGUAAGAAAGCGCCUUGCCUAAUACGCGAGGUGGUUGACGGUACCGGAAGAAUAAGCACCGGCUAACCACGUGCCAGCCGCCGCAGUAAGAC
rnacentral:rRNA from 1 species